UAACAACUGGAGCACAUGUAUGACUUGCUAUACAUUCGGGCCUAACACUUUUUAAUAGGGAAUGAGAAUCGCUUAUUAGUAUAAAAUGCUUCCUUGAGAAGACUUUAGAAGGUAAGGCUAUCAUACCCACCUGAUUAUAUCAGGACCAAUUAAGGCAAGAUACUACGGUGCUUUGGUUUUUUU
rnacentral:other from 1 species